rnacentral:rRNA from 1 species
GCCCUACGGGAGGCAGCAGUAAGGAAUAUUGGUCAAUGGACGCAAGUCUGAACCAGCCAUGCCGCGUGAAGGAUGAAGGUCCUCUGGAUUGUAAACUUCUUUUAUAUGGGACGAAAAAAGGGGAUUCUUCCUCACUUGACGGUACCAUAGGAAUAAGCACCGGCUAACUCCGUGCCAGCAGCCGCGGUAAUACGGAGGGUGCAAGCGUUAUCCGGAUUUACUGGGUUUAAAGGGUGCGUAGGUGGGCAGGUAAGUCAGUGGUGAAAUCUCCGGGCUUAACCCGGAAACUGCCAUUGAUACUAUCUGUCUUGAAUAUCCUGGAGGUGAGCGGAAUAUGUCAUGUAGCGGUGAAAUGCUUAGAUAUGACAUAGAACACCGAUUGCGAAGGCAGCUCACUACGGGAUCAUUGACGCUGAGGCACGAAAGCGUGGGGAUCAAACAGGAUUAGAUACCCUUGUAGUCCA